ensembl:lncRNA
AGUAGUUGGUUGAGAUAGGAGUUCUUCGUACUGGAAAAGCCCUCUUCCAUACAUAGUGUGUUUUCUUCUGGUUGCGUAUUCAUGGUUUUUUUUUUUUUUUUUUCCCUCUCUGAUCACAUCCUUCAAAGACAGAGUAUUCUUUACCUCAGGUUUACUGGACAAAAUCAAUAGCUACGAAAGAAAAUGGUUCACAUUUUUGUUCUCAUUAAUACCUCACAACCGUACAGUUUCUGCUUGGGAGCCCAUCAGUUAGGGAAGGCGGAGGGGGGAAGGGGCCACAGCCUCUCCCUGAUGGAAGGUGGGGGGCUUGACCCCAGGGUCUCAUGCCCAGGGACCUCUUCAGUGCUGAAGGUCAUCAGGCUUCCAUUCUGACUCCGGUAUCCUCAUCAUGAUGGAAAAAAUGCAAUUGGACCAAGGGAUUUCCCCUCCCCCGCAAGGCCGACACACAGCGCUGAGUGAUGCGGUGUGCUGGGCACGCAGCAUCUGCACUUGGGUUCCAGCCAUUUGAACAGGCUGUUUGUUCAGAGAGCCUUAUCAGGCGGGCCUUUCUAAAGCACACCUGCUUCCAGUUCUCCUUUCACCUGGGAAGUUUCCCUUCCUUCAGCAUGUUUCUCUCUCUGGCAAGUUUCUCUUUUCCUGGACGCUGGCAGCCCCUUGGGCCCCCCCCUUCAGGACGAUUUCAGAGGGUUUCCUAGGUCUGAACCUGCGGCAGGCAGGGUUGCCAUGGGAACUGCUCCCACCUGUCUGGCCUGUGACAGGCAAAAUGCUGGGGCAAGGGCAUGGUCCUCGCUGAGUGGCACUGAAUGGUUUUCAGGUUUUAAAUAGUGCGCUGAAUUGGCAUGAUCGGGAAAACGGGUCGGGGUGAGUAUCGGAUCGGUGGUUGAAGGGAGGUGGGCAGGCUGCUUCUGCCCAGAGAUGGAAUCCCAGGUGAGUCAGGCUCCGUUGACGUGGGUUAGAAGGGUUCAGGACUCGGUGAGUUAUGUGAUCCUGAGAUGCUCAGGAUUCCUGGUGGGCCAGUGGGCAGUGAAUUCUGAGGUUUGGGGGAGAAAGGCUGAGCGGCCUGUGUUUUAUCAAGAGGCCAUCCCGCGUAGGCCGUUCUUCUGGGCCCCAAGGUCGGGGGGAGUCUGCGUGGUGGAGAAAAGCAUGAGCCCUAGAGUUCUUGAGAGUCUUGGAACCUAAAGAGAAAGGGAGGUACAGAUCCCUCUAACAGUGACCAGCUGCUCAGCUCAAACAGAAGCAGCGAGUGAGAGAAAUAAGGAAGGAUACAGGCCAACAGACUCCCCCCCCCGCAGUCUCUCACUCUCCACUUUCCCUGGAGCCCUAGGGGUCCCCGGGACCUUCUAGCUUUUUCUCCUUUUCCUCCUCGUGCCUAGUGUUGCAGCUAGGAAGGGUGCUACGUAGUUUCUGCUUUCCUGCCUGCUUCUUCCUUAAACAGAAGACGGGCCCAGGCAUUGUUGAACUGUCUCGUGCCCUCUCCUUGGAUCUUGGAUCUUGGUUUCCUCGGUAGGAGUUUCUGUCCCAGAGGCAUUCAGGUGCAUUUUUUUUUUCUCCUCCCGUGAAGGAGGUUCCAAACCUAUUCUGGUUUUUUUCCUACCUUGUUGUCAUUGUAUCUCUCCUUUCCUUUGUUCUCUUUUAUGUUUUUUUUUUCUUUUCUUUUUUUGGUUGUUUGUUUUUCUCCAUCAGUGGGGACUGAUUGUUCCCCUUGCCGGCCAAAUUUUGUUCCUUCCCCUGUUUUGGCCAAAUCCUAGGGGGUGAAAAUCCUCGUAUGCCAAAAAUAUAUGCUGAGCAUAAGUCAGUUCCACGUGGGUUGUCCAUCGCAGCCGAGAAGCCUGCAGGUGGGGGCAGGGGAUGGGUGCCUCAGCAGACUGCACCCCCCCUUCCAGCCGAGAGAAGGGGCUUCUGUCCACGGAGGCUGUCCUCUGGAACUGUCCCGACCCCACUGAGCAGCCAGUGUUCCCCAGCCAUGGGGGGACAGGGCUGGGAGAAGAAAUAGACGUGCACCUUAUAUCAUGUAAAUAUACUGAUUUUUCUAGUUCAAGAAAGAAUUAUUGGUAGAGUGGGAACGGGAGAUAAGAAUGAGCAGGAAAUCUUGAGUAAGCCAGCUGGCUUUUAAGCCAAAAGGGUUCCUCCGUGUUUAUCUUUGAGACAGUCCAACCCCAAGAAUAGCUUUAAAAGGGAAAUCAGUGCUGAGACGGUGAAGUCCCUUACCCAACACGCGCCCUGUAGCUUUAGAAUGAACGCAGGCUCCUCAGCUGUGGGCUCGGCAUGGUUCCCGUCACCCGUUGGUGUGAAACAAGGCGGGAAAUUCAUUAGGAUGUUUAUGGCUUCUUCAUCCCACCCAGCUUUUCCUGGUUCUGGAUUCUAAACAACCCAGAACCAUCUCUUUCCUCCGGUGUCUCUGCUUCUAGACUUGCGUGGGCCCUCAGACCCGUUUCUUGGCUUGGGUUUCCGGAAGCCUUCGGCAGACUUAUACACGCAUGCUCUUGCUGUCACAUUUAUUCCUUUGCCUGCAGCCUUCUUUGGGGGGAAAAAAGUGCCUUACUGACUGUAGCCAUUACAGUAGCCAGUGUAUUUUCACAGAUGCCUAUCCUUUUUUUUUUUAAACAGUUCUCUCUCUCUUUUUUUUUUUUCUUCUUAGUUCUAUUUCUUACUGCUCACCACCUCUGAAAUCCCCAGCGUGUCACGGGGCCAUUGGAUUUUUUCCAUUAUGUUCAUUACCCUUGUACCAUGUACCUCAGAUCUCUCUCUCUCAGUUACAGUUUCUCGUCUUGGACUUUCUUUUAUUAUUAUUAUAAUUUUUUUUUUUUUUUGCUUUAAACGAGUGUGAUGCCAUAUCGAGUCAAUGUUAAUCUCUCACCAUGUACUCUAUAAGAGGUGUGGGUGUUUAUUUGGUCGGCGUGCAAGCAAGUGCUAACGCAGCAUGAUCAGUAUACACGGAAGGUUUUUAGGAAGUAUGGGAAAAAAAAUGUUGUAUUGGCUAUGAUGGUGGCAUGGUAUAGUCAAGCUGCCUUUUCUGAGGUCCUAUCUUUCAGUGUUAAGUGAUUUUUAAAAAUAAUAACCUGUUUUUCUGACUAGCUUAAAGAUGGAUUUGAAAAUGGUUUUGGAUGCAAUUAGAUUAUGCUAUUUGGACAAUAAACUCACC